AGCAUGUAAGCAUACACAAUAAUAAUUAUCAUUAGACCUAUAGUAACUAAGACUCGUACUAUUUAGUACUACUUUAAUACUACCUUUAAACUAUUAGGCAUAAUGAAAUAAUGAUUAAUGAUUUCAGUGUUUUCCGCACUCGAGAGAAAAGAGGUUGCAGGGAACUUAGAGACUAAUCUUUGCCAACAUACUGGAUUUCUGGUGAUGACAAUAGGAGCAGAUAGUAUGCGGCUCAGUUAAUACUAAAAACAAUUGAUUUUAGUAAUUAGUGGACUAUGAGUGUGUGUUUGGCCAUCCAGAUUUCAUAACUACAACUGAUGUUCAAUUACAAGGGAUAUUAAUCAGUCUCCGUGGACUAUACACUGUGCCUAGUUUCAUCCUCAGAGACUGAUGUGUAAUCUUAAAGUAAAGACAUAAAAUCAAAGUAUCAGCUAUCAAGAG